AGCUUUGCGCAGUGGCGAUAUCGUAACCAAUGAGGUUUUUCCGAGGUGCGAUUAUUGCUAGUUGAAAACUUCUAUACACAAAUAGAAUAAAAAAGAAAUGAAGCAUUACUUGGGUCACUAGCACCAGUGAAAAGGAAUGGUUUUACAAAUAUUGCGUUUUUUUUUCUAAUGAAA